AGUUUGAUCAUGGCUCAGGAUGAACGCUGGCGGCGUGCCUAACACAUGCAAGUCGAGCGAUUUACUUCGGUAAAGAGCGGCGGACGGGUGAGUAACGCGUGGGUAACCUGCCCUGUACACACGGAUAACAUACCGAAAGGUAUGCUAAUACGAGAUAAUAUACUUUUAUCUCAUGGUAGAAGUAUCAAAGCUCUGGCGGUACAGGAUGGACCCGCGUCUGAUUAGCUAGUUGGUAAGGUAACGGCUUACCAAGGCGACGAUCAGUAGCCGACCUGAGAGGGUGAUCGGCCACAUUGGAACUGAGACACGGUCCAAACUCCUACGGGAGGCAGCAGUGGGGAAUAUUGCACAAUGGGCGAAAGCCUGAUGCAGCAACGCCGCGUGAGCGAUGAAGGCCUUCGGGUCGUAAAGCUCUGUCCUCAAGGAAGAUAAUGACGGUACUUGAGGAGGAAGCCCCGGCUAACUACGUG
rnacentral:rRNA from 1 species